rnacentral:rRNA from 1 species
UACGUAGGUGGCAAGCGUUGUCCGGAAUUAUUGGGCGUAAAGCGCGCGCAGGUGGUUCCUUAAGUCUGAUGUGAAAGCCCACGGCUCAACCGUGGAGGGUCAUUGGAAACUGGGGAACUUGAGUGCAGAAGAGGAAAGUGGAAUUCCAAGUGUAGCGGUGAAAUGCGUAGAUAUCGAGAGGAACACCAGUGGCGAAGGCGAGUCCCUGGACAGGUCCUGACGCUGAGGCACGAAAGCUAGGGGAGCAAACAGG